rnacentral:rRNA from 1 species
GAUGAACGCUGGCGGCGUGCCUAAUACAUGCAAGUCGAGCGAACAGACGAGGAGCUUGCUCCUCUGACGUUAGCGGCGGACGGGUGGGUAACACGUGGAUAACCUACCUAUAAGACUGGGAUAACUUCGGAAAACCGGAGCUAAUACCGGAUAAUAUAUUGAACCGCAUGGUUCAAUAGUGAAAGACGGUUUUGCUGUCACUUAUAGAUGGAUCCGCGCCGCAUUAGCUAGUUGGUAAGGUAACGGCUUACCAAGGCAACGAUGCGUAGCCGACCUGAGAGGGUGAUCGGCCACACUGGAACUGAGACACGGUCCAGACUCCUACGGGAGGCAGCAGUAGGGAAUCUUCCGCAAUGGGCGAAAGCCUGACGGAGCAACGCCGCGUGAGUGAUGAAGGUCUUCGGAUCGUAAAACUCUGUUAUUAGGGAAGAACAAAUGUGUAAGUAACUAUGCACGUCUUGACGGUACCUAAUCAGAAAGCCACGGCUAACUACGUG